CAGGGAGGGCAGCAGUUAGGACAACCUAUGCACAGCAGGGGAGAAGGCAGUGGCGCCCACUCCAGCACUCUUGCCUGGAAAAUCCCAGGGACGGAGGAGUCUGGUGGGCUGCAGUCCAGGAGGUCGCACAGGGUUGGACACGACUGAGCGACUUAGCAGGAGCAGCAGCAUGCACACUUGGUUAUUGUGGAUAAUGCCGCAACAAUCCUGGAAGAACAGAUGCCUCUUCAAGAUGCUGUUUUCAUUUCUGGAAUGUGCCUUGUGACCGCAGAGGUAGCUGGAGCACGGAUCCGACGAGCUGCCAUUUCAGCUUCCCGGGUGGCUCAGCAGUUGAGAAUCUGCUUGCCAGUGCAGAAGACUCACGUUUGAUCCCUGGGUCGGGAAGAUCCCCUGGAGAAGGAAAUGGCUACCCGCUCCAGUAUUCUUGCCUGGAGAACCCCAUGGAUAAAGGAGCCUGGUGGGCCGCAAUCCAUGGGGCCGCCAAAGAGCUGGACACAGCUGAGUGACUAAAGAACAAUAAAGUGUGUAUACGCUAAUCCCAAGCUCCUAGUUUAACAGGUUCUGUAAAACUCUCUAUAACCUGGCCUGCACCGACCUCUCUGAUCUUAUCAGCUGUCUUCCCUCCCAUUCCCCUCAGCUCACUGAACUUUACAUUCUCAGAGCUCAU
ensembl:lncRNA